rnacentral:lncRNA from 1 species
GGAGAACUUAAGGCCAUCUGUCUACCAGCUGAAGCUCAACAGAAGAUGGGUGUUGCAACAGGACAAUGACCCAAAGCAUAGAAGUAAAUCAACAACAGAAUGGCUUAAACAGAAGAAAAUACGCCUUCUGAAGUGGCCCAGUCAGAGUCCUGACUUCAACCCGAUUGAGAUGCUGUGGCAUGACCUCAAGAAAGCGAUUCACACCAGACAUCCCAAGAAUAUUGCUG